AUUGAACGCUGGCGGCAGGCCUAACACAUGCAAGUCGAACGAGUGGCGGACGGGUGAGUAAUGUCUGGGCAACUGCCUGAUGGAGGGGGAUAACUACUGGAAACGGUAGCUAAUACCGCAUACCAUCAGAUGUGCCCAGAUGGGAUUAGCUUGUUGGUGGGGUAACGGGUCACCAAGACGACGAUCCCUAGCUGGUCUGAGAGGAUGACCAGCCAAACUGGACCUGGGAAACGGCCCAGACUCCUACGGGGGGAAGCAGUGGGAAAUAUUGCACAAUGGGGGCAAGCCUGAUGCAGCAAUGCCGGUUGGAUGAAGAAGGCCUUCGGGUUGUAAAGUACUUUCAGCGGGGAGGCGUUACCCGCAGAAGAAGCACCGGCUAACUCCGUGCCAGCAGCGCGGUAAUAC
rnacentral:rRNA from 1 species